GGGGGGCGAGGGGGGCGAGGGGGCGAUGAGGGUGAGGCGGGCGAGGGGCCGAGGGAGUGCCUGGGCUCGUGCAUUUCCACGAAGUCCCUCCGAGACGGAGGCGGGCUGGCUGUGAAAGUGGCACGGGCUCUGGGAAGAGAAGUAAGGAGGACUGCUGGGAAGGAAACCAGGUUCUCGGAUGAGCAGGGGCUGUGAUAUGAAAGUGAUCAAGAGCAGAAGAAUUCAGCCUGGCUGCGCCCGAAGAUGGUUCUGUCCAUGGCCUUGUACGAGGAAGGAGGGACUGAUGGUUCACGCUGAGCUCUUGGAUGAGAAAUGGUUUCUUUCUGGCAUUUAAGAAAGAAGUUCUCUUUUUAAAACCCACAAAUAUUUGUUAGUUAUUUUUCUCCUUGAGAAAUGUUUUCCUGAAAUCUGCGACGCUGAGGCUCGUCGUGGACAUUUCGGCUUCUGUGGCCUAUGAAAGUUGACUGUGAACGAGGGCUGCUC
rnacentral:lncRNA from 1 species